rnacentral:rRNA from 1 species
AAAGAAAAGUCAUAACAAGGGUUCCGUAGGUGAACCUGCGGAAGGAUCAUCAAUGGCAGAGCAGCAAGAGAAGAGCUAAGGGCCCCAUCUUUGUUUGCAUCCCAGAUGUGCACACCCGCAGCCUGAGGCUCCCCUCGCACUCCAUUCCAGCCAGCAGAAUGGUACACAGCUGUGGCGCAUGGGGGUCCAGCUACUGGGGAGCGGUAUCCGUUCCAACGGAGGGGUCUGUGACCCAGAACAUGGAAGGGGAUGUCCAGAAGGUGUGGGCUAACCUGCCGAUGCACUGGAGCAGGAGCCCCAAGCGGCCACCCCUUCCUCUCCGAACUGUCCCCUGAGCCACCAUGCUAGCCCUCCUGUCUACUACCUGCCAGGAGGUGAGUGUUGGUGGGCCCCCAUGGUCAGGGUUGGACAGGAUCCUGGCACACUGGGUGCACUUUGAGUCAUGGUACUAACGGGCCUACUCAGUGGAUCUGGUUCCACCCACUUACUGCCAUGGGUGAGCGAUGGCAAGGCUCACCCCACAGCAGGUGGCCUUUCGUCAUAUCCAGGUACCUGGAGCUCAGCCCUGAGUGGCCCUCCUCCAUCACCGUAGGGAGCCCCAUCGCAAUGCCACAGAAGACGACAGGCCCGUAACCCAUUUGUUAAAAGGCCCCAAUGGUCUUGUCUGACUCCCAAGUGUGGAAGCUAGACAGGGCACCUUUCUGUUUCACAUUGUCUGUCAGGGAUGUGGAGCAUGGGCGUGUGUGAUAAGACACGGAAGAUGUUGAACUAUGCCUGGGCAGAGUGAAGCCAGCCCAUAACUCUGGUGGAGGUCAGUAGUGGUCCUGACACACACAUCGGUCAUCUGACCUUGGUGUAAGGGCAAAAGACAAUUCAAACCAUCUAGGAGCUGGUUCCCACCAAAGUUUCCCUCAGGAUAGCUGGCACUCAGAUGCCCCAGUUUUAUCUGGUAAAGCAAAUGGUUUAAGAUCUUGGGGCUAAAACAAUCUCAACCUGUUCUCCAACUUUAAAUGGAUAAAAAUCCCAGCUCACUAGUAUAGAGCCAGGCAUCAAAUUCCAGUAACCAGUGUGCCACUUUUGGUAAGCAGUGCUGGUGCCGCGGGAUGAACUGAAUGUCAGGUUAUGGCACACGAUGCUGAUGCUCAUCAGACCCCAGGAAAUUUGUUGGUUUAUACAGACAACAGAACGGUGACAUGGAACUUGUUAUCUGCUAAUGUGUGUGUGAAAACUCACCUGCUGAAUCAACUAGCAUUGACAAUGGAUGGUGCUGGACUAUCGGGCUCAUACCAAGCGGUAGCCAUUGCUGAGAGCUUCAGGGGCUAAGCCGCGAAGUGUAGUAGUGGUGCUGCAGUGCGCAUGUUAACCCAGGAGGAGUACCCUGGUGCAACGGCCGCAGGUGCACAUCAUGGAGGUAGUAGCAAAUAUUAAAACAAGGACUUUGAAGGCCAAAGUGCAGGAGGGUACCAUGUGAACAGCUUUUGGACAUGGGUCAGCCGGUCCUAAGAGAUGUGCAAGUGAUGUUCAGAAGGGACAGGCGAUGGCCUUUGUUGCCUUCAGACGAUCGAAAGGGACUCAGGUUCAGAUCCUCAAAACAUGAAUGGCGGAGAUGGGCACCUUCACGGUGUCCAGUGCAGUAAGGCAAAUGUUCCUGGGAAAUACAGCUCGAGCCCUGGGGAGAGAUAUAUUUUCUUUGUGAAGGACAUGGAACCCUGGAAUGUGUUUGCCCGAGAGAGGGGCCUCAGCCUUGGAAAGCGUUGCAGUUCCAGCAGGGUCCGGUGAGCUCUCGAUGGUGGUUGAACAUGCAGGGGAGAUGGUGUAAAUCUUGCACCAGGCCAUACGCAUAUCCGCAGCAGGUCUUUAUGGAUAACAUCAUCUGACAUGUUGGAACAAUGUAUCCAUAACUUCAGGAUAAGGAUUCCUCUAAGGGCAGGGUCAGUCAGGCUGGUCUGUGAGGAUGGAUGUGUGCAUGCCAUGAUUGUACAAGGUGCCCCCCCAUGGAUCAUGCCAUCUCUGUACGUGAACUGGGCCCUUCCUGUUGAUUGUCCCAGCUGUGGUGGUCGUCUCUCUCUGUCCCCCUCCUGGGCUUUGGAACUGGCGUUCUGCCUCGGUUGAAACCGAGCAGCUGACUUACAACUGGUGAGGACCAUGCAAAUCUGAUGGUUUAAUUGAAACAAAGCAUUGCGAAAGCCCACGGCUGCUGCUGACACAAUGUGAUGAUUUAUGCCUGAUGCUAUAAAUGUCAAAGUGAAGAAAUUCAAUGAAUGAUCAACAAGAUUCACAUUUUCCCUACCUACUAUAUAGCAAACCCGCAACGGAAAGAAGACUGUGUUGAGUUUGUCUGUAGUCUGGCACUAUGAAGAGACAUGAGAGGAUAAGAAUAAGUGGGAUGCCCUCAGGCUGCCAUUAAAUACCAAAACUCUUAUCAUUUGUUCACGUACCAAGUGAGGCAGGGGAGCAAGCCCCAUGGUGAUGUUGGUUCAUGGCUCCAAGCAUCUAAUUCCCUCUGGGUGCAACCCAUUGUGUGGACAGUGGCAAGUGGGGAGUUUGACGGGGGCAGUACAACUGUCAAAAAAUAACACAGGUAUCCUAAGGCAAUCUCAGAGAGGCCGGAACUCUCCCAUAGAGCAGAAGGAUAAUUGCUUGCUGGAUCUUGAUUUUCUGUAUGAACACAAACCGUGUAAGCAGGGCUUCAUCACCCUUAUGAUUUUUUGGGUUUCAAGCAGGAGGUGUCAGGAAAUUACCACAGAAAUAACUCUCUUGUGGCAUCCAAGCGGUCAUACUAACGUCGAUUUGUGUGCCUUCCAUGUCAGCUCUUCCUAUCAUUGUGAAGCAGAAUUCACCAAGCAUUGGAUUGUUUACCCACUAAUAGGGAAUGUGAGUUGUGUUUAGACCAUUGUGUGAAGGGUUUGUCUUAUCCAAAUGAUGAUGAGUUGUUGAAAUGGUAAUCCUGCUCAGUACGAGAGGAACCAGGGAUCAGAUUUUUGGUGUGUGUGCUCGACUCAGUAGCCAAAGUGUCAAAUCUAGCUUCUGUGGGAUUAUGACUGAACACAUCUAACUUUAAAUCCCUCCUAAACCGUAACAGUACUGCAGCGCUGUGUAGCCUCAGUUGGCCUAGCAACUUUUAAUAUAACAUUGUAUUUUUUUCAUGUGUUUGUUUCAUUAGUCAGUGUGAUAAACAUCCAUUAAAAAUUCCAAUAAACUUGAAUGACAAGU